UACGUAGGGUGCGAGCGUUAAUCGGAAUUACUGGGCGUAAAGCGUGCGCAGGCGGCUUACUAAGACAGGUGUGAAAGCCCCGAGCUUAACUUGGGAAUGGCGCUUGUGACUGGUAGGCUGGAGUGUGGCAGAGGGAGGUGGAAUUCCACGUGUAGCAGUGAAAUGCGUAGAGAUGUGGAGGAACACCGAUGGCGAAGGCAGCCUCCUGGGCCAACACUGACGCUCAUGCACGAAAGCGUGGGGAGCAAACAGG
rnacentral:rRNA from 1 species